GACGAACGCUGGCGGCGUGCUUAACACAUGCAAGUCGAACGCAGUGGCGAACGGGUGAGUAACGCGUAAUCAACCUGCCCUUCAGACGGGGACAACAGUUGGAAACGACUGCUAAUACCGCAUUCUGUAGGUGGGGCUUCCGUGGGAUUGGCUAGUUGGUGGGUUACGGGCCCACCAAGGCGAUGAUCAGUAGCCGGACUGGGAGGAGGAACGGCCAACAUGGGACUGAGAACAGGCCCAGACUCCUACGGGAGGCAGCAGUGGGGAAUCUUCCGCAAUGGACGAAAGUCUGACGGGGCAACGCCGCGUGAAGGAUGACGGCCUUCGGGUUGUAAAGCUCUUUUAGUCGGGACACGGUACCGGAACAGAAAGCCACGGCUAACUACGUGCCAGCAGCCGCGGUAAUAC
rnacentral:rRNA from 1 species